rnacentral:rRNA from 1 species
CCUACGGGGAGCAGCAGUAGGGAAUCUUUCACAAUGGGCGAAAGCCUGAUGGAGCAACGCCGCGUGCAGGAUGAAGGCCUUCGGGUUGUAAACUGCUUUUAUAAGCGAGAAAUAUGAUGGUAACUUAUGAAUAAGGAUCGGCUAACUACGUGCCAGCAGCCGCGGUCAUACGUAGGAUCCGAGCAUUAUCCGGAGUGACUGGGUGUAAAGAGUUGCGUAGGUGGCAUAAUAAGUAGCUAGUGAAAUCUGGUGGCUCAACCAUUCAGACUAUUAGCUAAACUGUUAAGCUCGAGACCGUUAGGGGUAACUGGAAUUUCUAGUGUAGGAGUGAAAUCCGUAGAUAUUAGAAGGAACACCAAUAGCGUAGGCAGGUUGCUGGGACGGGUCUGACACUAAGGCACGAAAGCGUAGGGAGCAAACGGGAUUAGAUACCCUUGUAGUC